rnacentral:rRNA from 1 species
UAGGGAAUCUUCCACAAUGGACGCAAGUCUGAUGGAGCAACGGCCGCGUGAGUGAAGAAGGUUUUCGGAUCGUAAAGCUCUGUUGUUGGUGAAGAAGGAUAGAGGCAGUAACUGGUCUUUAUUUGACGGUAAUCAACCAGAAAGUCACGGCUAACUACGUGCCAGCAGCCGCGGUAAUACGUAGGUGGCAAGCGUUGUCCGGAUUUAUUGGGCGUAAAGCGAGCGCAGGCGGAAUGAUAAGUCUGAUGUGAAAGCCCACGGCUCAACCGUGGAACUGCAUCGGAAACUGUCAUUCUUGAGUGCAGAAGAGGAGAGUGGAACUCCAUGUGUAGCGGUGGAAUGCGUAGAUGUAUGGAAGAACACCAGUGGCGAAGGCGGCUCUCUGGUCUGCAACUGACGCUGAGGCUCGAAAGCAUGGGUAGCGAACAGGAUUAGAUACCCUGGUAGUCCAUGCCGUAAACGAUGAGCGCUAGGUGUUGGGGACUUUCCGGUCCUCAG